GCCGGGAUGGCUGAGUGGAAAAGCGCAUGCCUGGAGAGCCAGAUAACCUAUAAAGCAUGUGGGGCUUUCGCCCCUCGAGGGUUCGAAUCCCUCUCCCGGCG
rnacentral:tRNA from 1 species